rnacentral:lncRNA from 11 species
UCUAUCUCCAACUUACCAAAUGCAUGGGGAGAAGGCAAUUCAUUUUGCUGAAAACUGGAAGAAACAUGAAGACCUUGCAGAUAGACUUCAGCAAACAUACUGGAUUUUGAAAAUGUUCUUUCAUGGCUUGGAGUCACUUGGAGCUUGUGGCAGCAGUACAAUGUUGUGCCCGCAAAAGAAUAUGUUACUGACAUGAAGACAAACUUCCUCAAAACUGUUCCA